AAGAAAAUCGUUAAGGGCGCAUGGCGGAUGCCUAGGCUUUGAGAGGCGAAGAAGGACGUGAUAAGCUGCGAAAAGCUGCGGGGAUUGGCACAUACGAUGUGAUCCGCAGAUAUCCGAAUGGGGCAACCCGUAUAGUUGAAGACUAUACAUCCUGUAAAGGAGGCGAACCCGGGGAACUGAAACAUCUAAGUACCUGGAGGAAGAGAAAAUAAUAAUGAUUCCGUUAGUAGUGGCGAGCGAACGCGGAAGAGCCCAAACCAGUUAUGUUUAGGCAUAAUUGGGGUUGUAGGACUACAAUAUGGACGAUAUAGUUAUAAUGGAAUCAGAUGGAAAUAUGAACCGAAGAGGGUGAGAGUCCCGUACAUGAAAUAAUUGUAUUACCUAGUAGUAUCCUGAGUAGGGCGGGACACGUGAAAUCCUGUCUGAAUCUGCCGGGACCAUCCGGUAAGGCUAAAUACUCCUCAAAGACCGAUAGUGAACCAGUACUGUGAAGGAAAGGUGAAAAGCACUGUGAAUAACAGGGUGAAAGAGAACCUGAAACCGUGCGCUUACAAGCGGUCGGAGCACAUUUAUGUGUGACGGCGUGCCUUUUGCAUAAUGAGCCUACGAGUUAAUUUUACUAGCGAGGUUAAGGUGUUCAGCACCGUAAGCCGUAGCGAAAGCGAGUCUGAAUAGGGCUAUUAGUUAGUAGGAUUAGACGCGAAACCGGCGUGAUCUACCCAUGGUCAGGUUGAAGCUGUAGUAACAUAUAGUGGAGGACCGAACCCGUUGACGUUGAAAAGUCUUGGGAUGAACUGUGGGUAGGGGUGAAAGGCCAAUCAAACCCGGAAAUAGCUCGUACUCCCCGAAAUGCAUUUAGGUGCAGCGUUGUGGUUAAGUUUAUUAGAGGUAGAGCUACUGAUUGGAUGCGGGGGCUUCACCGCCUACCAAUUCCUGACAAACUCCGAAUGCUAAUAAAUAUACACAGCAGUGAGGGCAUGGGUGCUAAGGUCCAUGUCCGAGAGGGAAAGAACCCAGACCAUCAGCUAAGGUCCCUAAAUAUAUGCUAAGUUGAAUAAACGCGGUUUGGUUGCCUAGACAGCUAGGAUGUUAGCUUGGAAGCAGCUAUUCAUUUAAAGAGUGCGUAACAGCUCACUAGUCGAGCGACCGAGCAUGGAUAAUAAUCGGGCAUAAGCAUAUUACCGAAGCUAUGGACAAGAAAUUGUGGUAGGGGAGCAUUCUAUUGGCGUUGAAGUAGUCUGGUGAUGGACUGUGGAGCGAAUAGAAAAGAAAAUGUAGGCAUAAGUAACGAUAAGGCGGGUGAGAAACCCGCCCACCGAAAGACUAAGGUUUCCUCAGCUAUGCUAAUCAGCUGAGGGUUAGUCGGGACCUAAGGCGCACCCGAGAGGGGAAGUCGAUGGUAAACGGGUUAAUAUUCCCGUACUUGCUUUAGAUGUGAUGGGGUGACGGAGUACUGACACCACUGCGUACUGACGGAAUAGUACGUUGAACUGUUUAGGUACUGGGUUUGUAGUUAAAUGCGCAGACUUAGCUAAGACAGGAUAGUACAUGAAAUCUUCGGAUGGAAUGAUAAUGUGGGUAAGGACUUCCAAGAAAAACCUCUAAACUUCAGUUUAAAGCGACUCGUACCGUAAACCGACACAGGUAGUUGGGAUGAGAAUUCUAAGGUGCUCGAGUGAUCCGUGGCUAAGGAACUAGGCAAAAUGGACCUGUAACUUCGGGAGAAAGGUCGCCCCGGUGUAAUAACCGGGGCCGCAGUGAAAAGGCCCAGGCGACUGUUUAUCAAAAACACAGGGCUAUGCUAAGAUGCAAGUUGAUGUAUAUGGCCUGACACCUGCCCGGUGCUGGAAGGUUAAGGGAGGAUGUUAUCUUUCGGGAGAAGCAUUUAACUGAAGCCCCAGUAAACGGCGGCCGUAACUAUAACGGUCCUAAGGUAGCGAAAUUCCUUGUCGGGUAAGUUCCGACCUGCACGAAUGGUGUAACGAUCUGGGCACUGUCUCAGCCACGAGCUCGGUGAAAUUGUAGUAUCGGUGAAGAUGCCGGUUACUCGCAAUGGGACGAAAAGACCCUGUGAACCUUUACUAUAGCUUCGUAUUGGCUUUGGAUACCGCAUGUGUAGGAUAGGUGGGAGAAGUUGAAGUGGCGUCGCCAGGCGUUGUGGAUUCAACCUUGAAAUACCACCCUUGCGUUAUUUGGAGUCUAAUCCCAGGAAUGGGAGACAGUGCGUGGUGGGUAGUUUGACUGGGGUGGUCGCCUCCAAAAGGGUAACGGAGGCUUCCAAAGGUACCCUCAUAACGGUUGGCAAUCGUUAGUAGAGUGUAAUGGCAUAAGGGUGCUUGACUGUGAGACAUACAAGUCGAUCAGGGACGAAAGUCGGGCAUAGUGAUCCGGUGGUUCCGUAUGGAAGGGCCAUCGCUCAAAGGAUAAAAGGUACUCCGGGGAUAACAGGCUAGUCUCCCCCAAGAGCUCACAUCGACGGGGAGGUUCGGCACCUCGAUGUCGGCUCGUCACAUCCUGGGGCUGGAGAAGGUCCCAAGGGUUGGGCUGUUCGCCCAUUAAAGUGGCACGCGAGCUGGGUUCAGAACGUCGUGAGACAGUUCGGUCUCUAUCUAUUGCGAGCGUUAGAAAUUUGAGUGGAGCUGUUCCUAGUACGAGAGGACCGGAAUGGACUGACCUCUGGUGUAUGAGUUGUUCCGCCAGGAGCAUGGCUCAGUAGCUACGUCGGGAAGAGAUAAGCGCUGAAAGCAUAUAAGUGCGAAACUCGCCACGAGAUGAGAUUUCUUUAAAGGGACGUUGGAGAUGACGACGUUGAUAGGCUACAGGUGUAAGGGCAGUGAUGUCUUAGCCGAGUAGUACUAAUUACCCGUAGAUUUUUUACA
rfam:Flavobacteriaceae bacterium TJ101, complete genome.